AAAAAUGAAAUAAGACGUAUUUGUACUGUAAGUCCAAAAAUCAAUAAAUUGUCUGAAACCAGGGAGUCCAUCUUUUAUGCUCUUCCAUUGACUUAUCUCCCUUGGGUAAGAUCUCAAACAUGUCAGCUCCCAGUGAUGGUUUGGCAGACAUAUGUUUACAGUGAAGUUUGUGACUUUAAUAAUCUAGGAUGAGCAUGUGGGCUAUCCUAGCCUUAUACAUCUACAUAUUACAAACUAUUUAAGAUAUCUGAAUGCACUAAAGACCAAAAUAGCAUUUCCAAAAAAAAUAAUUACUGCCAAGAAAUUUCACAAUCAUGACAAUAAUUUAGUGAAUAAACAUGAUAAAUAUUGAUUGGAAAAAUAAGUCCAUGAACAGCAAAAAGUGUUUUUAGAUUUCAACGAGCAAAACAAAAGUAUUCUAAAUCAUUCUUCGUAAAAAAAAAGUGAGUGAGUGGAACCACCUUGCUCGCACCAAAAUUGAGAUUGAGAGUGUCAAAACUGCUCUGGUGUACCAUCAAUAAAUCAACGACACUCUCUCUACGGUGGUAUUGAAACCAGCAUUGGUAACCAAACAUAUUCAUACAGAUACAGACUACCAUUCAUCUACAUUUAGGAAGUCUGAAUAAUACUGAAAACUAUGGUGUAGAAUUUCCAACAGGACUCCUUAUUUUAUAUAAGACAAGGAGUGGUUUAUUUUCCCAUGGUUGUUACAUCAUCUUGUCUUUGAAUAUGCUUGAAGUACAGGGACUUUUAUGGAAUUCAUUGACAUGAUAGUCGAGCAAGAUGUCAACAUCUCGUCCAACCCUCUUCCAGCAAAGCCAAAGCUGACCAAGGAUCUUCACCCUUUCAAAACAGGCUGUAUACAGGACAAGUUAUUCCAGUAGGAACAGGGCUAUAUAUAUGCAAGCAAUGCUCAAUUAAGAUGAAUUUUUGUAAAAGUGACAAUAGCCAGGUCAAACUAAAUACAUGUAUAGAAGAAGAUAUUGAUCUAGACUCACAGCUAACCUUUCUGUCAGUGUCAACAACAACUGAACUUUCACAGCAGUCAACAUCAGAUUGGGAGAUAAUGCUUCUAACAGAAACAAUUUCAACCAACCAAACAAGCAACAGAAACUUUCCAACUUUAAAACAUCAGUUAAAUCUUCCAUGGGAUGAUGUCUCAAAAAAUAACAGUUCAACAUUUAUGGAGAUUUUAAUGUUAUGGUUUUUCUUUUACAAGAAAGUUAAUGUACACUUGUUUUAUAGUAAAACCUAUAGCCGUUCAAGUAUAAAAAAACACAUUCAACUUUAUUGAAAUUUAAAGAUUCAUAUGACUUAUUUUAAUUCUGUUAUCUCUGAGGAUGUGAUGUAGAGCAUUAUAGGUACAGUAAUCUUAACAGCUAUCCAAUUUCAUUCAAAAUUCUUUAUAAAUUUUGCACUGGUAUAUAUAGACUAAGUAAUUUGUUUUUCGUCUAGUUAUGGGAUUUUUUUUAGAAGCAUUUAUGAUUUUCAUGUUUGUAUUGACCACAUUGCAGCAACAUAGAUAUAGGUACCUGGCAAAUCUUGCCUUGUUAGCAUACUAGGCUCAAAGGGUUAUAAAAAAAUUUCCAUCACUAAGUGUCUGUUAAAAUCAUCUGUUUACAGUUUUCACUUUUAAACCAUCAUCUUAAUAACUUUAGAAGAAGUGUCAUACAUAUAUAUAUGUAUACAAAAUUCAAAAACUUUUCAAUAUAUAUAUAUAUAUAUAUAUAUAUAUUGAUAAAAACUAUCAACAUGACAAGAUCUAAAUACCCAAAAUUUUUCUGAAAAAUUGGACAUAACAUCUUUGAGCUAUUGUCCCUGAAAUGUGUAAAUUUACAAAUUUUCACAGUUUUCUGCUACUAUCCAACAACUAUAUCAAUAUAUUAUAAGAAUAAAUUGUAAAAGUGGUCAGAAGAAACUUUUUUUUUACAGUCUGAACUUAUUCUGAAUUGUUUAACUUCUAAUUUAAAUUGAUUGCGUUUGAAAUAUGUGUUUUUUAUCGUUUUAGGUGCACAAUUUGUCAAUACGAUCUAUUUCGGCUCCUCAGAGCCUCUAGAUUUAUAAUGAAUAAUUUGUAUUUAUGUAUGAUUAUUUUCUUAAUGUAUUAAAUGAAACAUUAGUUAUUCUUUUCCAUUUGUUGUUAUACUUAUUUAUAAGUCCAGAUCCUAUCAUAUGUCAGUAGUUACAAAUUAGACGGCAAAAUUGAGAAAAUUUGAAUAUGCAGGUUACCCCAUUCUGUUGUGGCAUAUACCAGACACCAACAUUAUUUGCCGAGCUUGAUAUUUUUUUUGAUUGGGUAUAUAUAGUUAUACUUUGCAAGUAGAUAUGUUGUUUUACAAUAAUAAACGGGUCUUGGAGUAUUUUGGCUCUGAAAGAUGACCAAAAUCAGCCAUUUUGGACAUGUAGCUAAAUAAGACAUAUUGAAACAGUUAGAUUAUACAUACACUUAAUAGACAGCAUUGUUAAUUCUAUGCAUUCUUACACUUAAAGUGAUGUAUUACUAGGAACAACUAUCAAAAAAUUAUAAAUGUUACCAUAUUUAUUUAUUUAAACCAGCGAAAUAUGCCAAAAAAGGCUUAUUUUUGCUGUUUUCGAGCAAUUUCAUCUGUUAAAACAUGGCGCUCAAAAAAUAUCCAGAUCGGUUCAAUAUUUUCCCAAAAAAAUUUGUGUGGUUAUUUACAUUACUAAGGUGCACCAAUAUGCCAAAUAUGAACUCAUUUGGAAAAAGUGACAUUCGGACGGUUUUGCAUGGUUUUCUGGCAGAUUGGCUCUUAA